AUACGUAGGGGGCGAGCGUUGUCCGGAAUGAUUGGGCGUAAAGGGCGCGUAGGCGGCCCGGUAAGUCUGGAGUGAAAGUCCUGUUUUUAAGAUGGGAAUUGCUUUGGAUACUGUCGGGCUUGAGUGCAGGAGAGGUAAGUGGAAUUCCCAGUGUAGCGGUGAAAUGCGUAGAGAUUGGGAGGAACACCAGUGGCGAAGGCGACCUACUGGACUGUAACUGACGCUGAGGCGCGAAAGUGUGGGGAGCAAACAGGAUUAGAUACCCUGGUAGUCCACACUGUAAACGAUGAAUGCUAGGUGUAGGGGGUAUCGACCCCUUCUGUGCCGCAGUCAACACAAUAAGCAUUCCGCCUGGGGAGUACGGCCGCAAGGUUGAAACUCAAAUGAAUUGACGGGG
rnacentral:rRNA from 1 species